UACGUAGGUGGCAAGCGUUAUCCGGAAUUAUUGGGCGUAAAGCGCGCGUAGGCGGUUUCUUAAGUCUGAUGUGAAAGCCCACGGCUCAACCGUGGAGGGUCAUUGGAAACUGGGAAACUUGAGUACAGAAGAGGAAAGUGGAAUUCCAUGUGUAGCGGUGAAAAUGCGCAGAGAUAUGGAGGAACACCAGUGGCGAAGGCGACUUUCUGGUCUGUAACUGACGCUGAUGUGCGAAAAGCGUGGGGGAUCAAAACAGGAUUAGAUACCCCCGGUAGUCC
rnacentral:rRNA from 1 species